rnacentral:rRNA from 1 species
CAGUCGCCGCGGUAAUACGGAGGGAGCUAGCGUUAUUCGGGAUUACUGGGCGUAAAGCGCACGUAGGCGGCUUUGUAAGUAAGAGGUGAAAGCCUGGUGCUCAACACCAGAACUGCCUUUUAGACUGCAUCGCUUGAAUCAUGGAGAGGUCAGUGGAAUUCCGAGUGUAGAGGUGAAAUUCGUAGAUAUUCGGAAGAACACCAGUGGCGAAGGCGGCUGACUGGACAUGUAUUGACGCUGAGGUGCGAAAGCGUGGGGAGCAAACAGGAUUAGAUACCCCAGUAGUCCCUGUCUCUUAUAC